rnacentral:rRNA from 1 species
UACGUAGGGGCCGAGCGUUGUCCGGAGUUAUUGGGCGUAAAGCGCGCGCAGGCGGCCUCGCGCGCCCGACGUGAAAGCCCCCGGCUUAACCGGGGAGGGUCGUUGGGGACGGCGGGGCUUGAGGGCGGGAGAGGUCGGUGGAAUUCCCGGUGUAGUGGUGAAAUGCGUAGAGAUCGGGAGGAACACCUGUGGCGAAGGCGGCCGACUGGGCCGACCCUGACGCUGAGGCGCGAAAGCUAGGGUAGCAAACGGG